AUUUAUGUAGUUUAAAUAAAACAUUACAUUUUCAUUGUAAAAAUAAUAAUAAGAAUAUUCUUAAAUA
rnacentral:tRNA from 1 species